rnacentral:rRNA from 1 species
ACGGUCCGAGUCGAGUGUACACAAAAGGUUGCUCUAAGGUGACGAGCGGCGGAAGGGUGAGUAAUGUCUGGGAAACUGCCUGAUGGAGGGGGAUAACUACUGGAAACGGUAGCUAAUACCGCAUAACGUCGCAAGACCAAAGUGGGGGACCUUCGGGCCUCAUGCCAUCAGAUGUGCCCAGAUGGGAUUAGCUAGUAGGUGGGGUAACGGCUCACCUAGGCGACGAUCCCUAGCUGGUCUGAGAGGAUGACCAGCCACACUGGAACUGAGACACGGUCCAGACUCCUACGGGAGGCAGCAGUGGGGAAUAUUGCACAAUGGGCGCAAGCCUGAUGCAGCCAUGCCGCGUGUGUGAAGAAGGCCUUCGGGUUGUAAAGCACUUUCAGCGGGGAGGAAGGCGAUAAGGUUAAUAACCUUGUCGAUUGACGUUACCCGCAGAAGAAGCACSGGCUAACUCCGUGCCAGCAGCCGCGGUAAUACGGAGGGUGCAAGCGUUAAUCGGAAUUACUGGGCGUAAAGCGCACGCAGGCGGUCUGUCAAGUCGGAUGUGAAAUCCCCGGGCUCAACCUGGGAACUGCAUUCGAAACUGGCAGGCUAGAGUCUUGUAGAGGGGGGUAGAAUUCCAGGUGUAGCGGUGAAAUGCGUAGAGAUCUGGAGGAAUACCGGUGGCGAAGGCGGCCCCCUGGACAAAGACUGACGCUCAGGUGCGAAAGCGUGGGGAGCAAACAGGAUUAGAUACCCUGGUAGUCCACGCCGUAAACGAUGUCGAUUUGGAGGUUGUGCCCUUGAGGCGUGGCUUCCGGAGCUAACGCGUUAAAUCGACCGCCUGGGGAGUACGGCCGCAAGGUUAAAACUCAAAUGAAUUGACGGGGGCCCGCACAAGCGGUGGAGCAUGUGGUUUAAUUCGAUGCAACGCGAAGAACCUUACCUGGUCUUGACAUCCACAGAACUUUCCAGAGAUGGAUUGGUGCCUUCGGGAACUGUGAGACAGGUGCUGCAUGGCUGUCGUCAGCUCGUGUUGUGAAAUGUUGGGUUAAGUCCCGCAACGAGCGCAACCCUUAUCCUUUGUUGCCAGCGGUUAGGCCGGGAACUCAAAGGAGACUGCCAGUGAUAAACUGGAGGAAGGUGGGGAUGACGUCAAGUCAUCAUGGCCCUUACGACCAGGGCUACACACGUGCUACAAUGGCAUAUACAAAGAGAAGCGACCUCGCGAGAGCAAGCGGACCUCAUAAAGUAUGUCGUAGUCCGGAUUGGAGUCUGCAACUCGACUCCAUGAAGUCGGAAUCGCUAGUAAUCGUAGAUCAGAAUGCUACGGUGAAUACGUUCCCGGGCCUUGUACACACUGCCCGUCACUCCAUGGGAGUGGGUUGUGAGAGAAGC